GACGAACGCUGGCGGCGUGCUUAACACAUGCAAGUCGAACGGAAAGGCCCUGCGCUUGUGGGGUGCUCGAGUGGCGAACGGGUGAGUAACACGUGAGUAAACCGCCCUUGUCUUUGGGAUAACUUCAGGAAACUGGGGCUAAUACCGGAUAGGAGCUCCUGCUGCAUGUGGGGGGUUGGAAAGUUUCGGCGGUUGUGGAUGGACUCGCGGCUUAUCAGCUUCUUGGUGGGGUUGUGGCUUACCAAGGCUUUGACGGGUAGCCCGCCUGAGAGGGUGACCGGCCACAUUGGGACUGAGAGACGCCCCAGACUCCUACGGGCGGCAGCAGUGGAGAAUAUUGCACAAUGGGCGGAAGCCUGAUGCAGCGACGCCGCGUGCGGGAUGACGGCCUUCGGGUUGUAAACCGCUUUCGCCUUUGACGAAGCGUGAGUGACGGUAAUGGGUAAAGAAGCACCGGCUAACUACGUG
rnacentral:rRNA from 1 species